CGGAGGGAUCAUUACUGAGUUUACGCUCUACAACCCUUUGUGAACAUACCUAUAACUGUUGCUUCGGCGGGUAGGGUCUCCGCGACCCUCCCGGCCUCCCGCCUCCGGGCGGGUCGGCGCCCGCCGGAGGAUAACCAAACUCUGAUUUAACGACGUUUCUUCUGAGUGGUACAAGCAAAUAAUCAAAACUUUUAACAACGGAUCUCUUGGUUCUGGCAUCGAUGAAGAACGCAGCGAAAUGCGAUAAGUAAUGUGAAUUGCAGAAUUCAGUGAAUCAUCGAAUCUUUGAACGCACAUUGCGCCCGCCAGCAUUCUGGCGGGCAUGCCUGUUCGAGCGUCAUUUCAACCCUCAAGCUCUGCUUGGUGUUGGGGCCCUACAGCUGAUGUAGGCCCUCAAAGGUAGUGGCGGACCCUCUCGGAGCCUCCUUUGCGUAGUAACUUUACGUCUCGCACUGGGAUCCGGAGGGACUCUUGCCGUAAAACCCCCAAUUUUCCAAAGGUUGACCUCGGAUCAGGUAGGAAUACCCGCUGAACUUAAGCAA
rnacentral:rRNA from 1 species